GAUGAACGCUGGCGGCGUGCCUAAUACAUGCAAGUCGAGCGAACGGACGAGAAGCUUGCUUCUCUGAUGUUAGCGGCGGACGGGUGAGUAACACGUGGAUAACCUACCUAUAAGACUGGGAUAACUUCGGGAAACCGGAGCUAAUACCGGAUAAUAUUUUGAACCGCAUGGUUCAAAAGUGAAAGACGGUCUUGCUGUCACUUAUAGAUGGAUCCGCGCUGCAUUAGCUAGUUGGUAAGGUAACGGCUUACCAAGGCAACGAUGCAUAGCCGACCUGAGAGGGUGAUCGGCCACACUAGAACGGAGACACGGUCCAGACGCCUACGGGAGGCAGCAGUAGGGAAUCUUCCGCAAUGGGCGAAAGCCUGACGGAGCAACGCCGCGUGAGUGAUGAAGGUCUUCGGAUCGUAAAACUCUGUUAUUAGGGAAGAACAUAUGUGUAAGUAACUGUGCACAUCUUGACGGUACCUAAUCAGAAAGCCACGGCUAACUACGUG
rnacentral:rRNA from 1 species